UACGAAGGGGGCUAGCGUUGCUCGGAAUCACUGGGCGUAAAGCGCACGUAGGCGGUAAUGCAAGUCAGGGGUGAAAUCCCGGAGCUUAACUCCGGAACUGCCUUUGAAACUGCAUUGCUGGAGUGUGUGAGGGGAUAGCGGAAUUCCUAAUGUAGAGGUGAAAUUCGUAGAUAUUAGGAGGAACACCGGUGGCGAAGGCGGGUCUCUGGGCCAAAACUGACGCUGAGGAGCGAAAGCGUGGGGAGCGAACAGG
rnacentral:rRNA from 1 species